rnacentral:tRNA from 1 species
GGGUUGGUGGUGUAGUGGUAACACAUCGCAUCCGGGCUUGAAGGGAAGUGGUUCGAUCCCAUCCCGGUCCA